rnacentral:rRNA from 1 species
AUGCUCGACAAGAUCCUCAACCGUACACCUACCUGGAACUGGAAGGCACGCCUGCUGUACCGCUCCGGCAGACUGGUCAUCGUCAAAUCAGUGCUUGCCUCGAUGUCGGUGUACCACUCGAUCGCCAUGGAGCUGCCUCCUUGGUUCAUCAAGGCCAUCGACAAGCGAGUGCGCGCGUUCCUCUGGGCGGGUUCCGACUCGGUCUCCGGUGGCCAAUGCCUUGUGGCAUGGGAUAAGGUAUGUAGAGCGCUCGAAUAUGGUGGUCUGGGCGUCCCAAACUUACACAUCCUUGGACUGGCCCUGCGGAUGCGCUAG